GAUGAAGAACGCAGCGAAAUGCGAUAAGUAAUGCGAAUUGCAGAAUUUCCGUGAGUCAUCGAAUCUUUGAACGCACAUUGCGCCCACUGGUAUUCCGGUGGGCAUGCCUGUUCGAGCGUCAUUAUCCUCCCUCAAACCCCGGGUUUGGUGUUGGACCCAAGUUGUGUGAACAACUGGUCUCAAAGACAAUGACGGCGUCCGUGGGACCCUCGGUGCAACGAGCUUUUAGGAGCACGCAUCGAGUUGCAAGGACCUUCCGGGCCGGUCUCCUUUUCCAUUUUACAAGGUUGACCUCGGAUCAGGUAGGAAUACCCGCUGAACUUAAGCAUAUCAAUAAGCGGAGGA
rnacentral:misc_RNA from 1 species